AUGAAAAGAAGUAUUGAAUUCUUGUCUUGCGAUAGUUUGAGUUCUCUUGGUCUCAAGUUGGUUCAGAGUAGACAACAUUUGGUAUUUCCAUUGGUUUAUCGGCUCAUCAGACUUGCAUUGACAUUACCGGUGGCAACUGCAUCAGUUGAGAGGGUUUUCUCAGCCAUGAAUAUUAUAAAGACUGAUCUUCGAAACAAGAUGGGUGAUCAUUGGCUUAAUGAUUUGAUGGUUUGCUUUUUUGAGCGCUAG
rnacentral:rRNA from 1 species